UAUGAUCACCAAAGUUAAGCAAUGCUGAGCCUGGUCAGUACUUAGGUGGGUGACUGCCUGGAAUAUCAGGUGCUGUAUG